UACGAAGGGUGCAAGCGUUACUCGGAAUUACUGGGCGUAAAGCGUGCGUAGGUGGUUUGUUAAGUCUGUUGUGAAAGCCCCGGGCUCAACCUGGGAAUGGCAAUGGAUACUGGCUGGCUAGAGUGUGUCAGAGGAUGGUGGAAUUCCCGGUGUAGCGGUGAAAUGCGUAGAGAUCGGGAGGAACAUCAGUGGCGAAGGCGACUGCCUGGCCUGUUUCUUGACGCUGAGGCGCGAAAGCUAGGGGAGCAAACGGG
rnacentral:rRNA from 1 species